rnacentral:rRNA from 1 species
UACGUAGGGACCGAGCGUUGUCCGGAAUCAUUGGGCGUAAAGAGCUCGUAGGCGGUCUGUCGCGUCUGGUGUGAAAAUCCAGGGCUUAACCCUGGACCUGCAUCGGGUACGGGCAGACUAGAGUGCGGUAGGGGAGAUCGGAAUUCCUGGUGUAGCGGUGAAAUGCGCAGAUAUCAGGAGGAACACCGGUGGCGAAGGCGGCCCGCUGGGCAGGAAGGCUCGCAAGAGCCGGCUGACGCUGAGGCGCGACAGCGUGGGGAGCAAACAGG